GACGAACGCUGGCGGCGUGCUUAACACAUGCAAGUCGAACGGAAAGGCCCGGCGUUUGUUGGGUGCUCGAUUGGCGAACGCGUGAGUAACACGCGAGUAACCUGCCCCUGACUGUGUGAUAACUUCAGGAGACUGCGGCUAAUACCGGGGAGGAGCUCCUGCUGCACGGGGGUGGUUGGAAAGUGUCGGCGGUGGGGGAUGGACUCGCUGCUUAUCAGCUGGUUGGUCUGGUAGUGGCUUACCAAGGCUUUGACGGGUAGCCGGCCUGGGAGGGUGACCGGCGACCUUGGGACUGAGAUACGGCCCAGACUCCUACGGGAGGCAGCAGUGGGGAACAUUGCAGAAUGGGCGGACGCCUGAUGCAGCAACGCCGCGUGCGUGAUGCCGGCCUUCGGGUUGUAAACCGCUUUCGCAUGUGCCGAAGCGUGAGUGACGGUAAUGGGUAAGGAAGCCACGGCUAACUACGUG
rnacentral:rRNA from 1 species